UAGGGAAUAUUGGUAAUGUGCGAAAGCGCGAACCAGCAACGCCGCGUGCACGAUGAAGGCCUUCGGGUUGUAAAGUGCUUUUAGAGAGGAUGAGGAAGGACAGUACUUUCUGAAUAAGCCUCGGCUAACUACGUGCCAGCAGCCGCGGUAAUACGUAGGGUGCGAGCGUUAAUCGGAAUUAUUGGGCGUAAAGCGUGCGCAGGCGGCGCCAUAAGACAGCUGUGAAAUCCCCGGGCUUAACCUGGGAACUGCGGUUGUGACUGUGGUGCUAGAGGACGGCAGAGGGAGGUGGAAUUCCGGGUGUAGCAGUGAAAUGCGUAGAGAUCAGGAGGAACACCGAUGGCGAAGGCAGCCUCCUGGGCUGAUACUGACGCUCAUGCACGAAAGCGUGGGGAGCAAACA
rnacentral:rRNA from 1 species